UACGUAGGGGGCAAGCGUUGUCCGGAUUUAUUGGGCGUAAAGAGCGUGUAGGCGGCUUGGUAGGUCCGCUGUGAAAACUCGAGGCUCAACCUCGAGAUGUCGGCGGAAACCACUUGGCUAGAGUCCGGAAGAGGAGAGUGGAAUUCCUGGUGUAGCGGUGAAAUGCGCAGAUAUCAGGAAGAACACCUAUGGCGAAGGCAGCUCUCUGGGACGGUACUGACGCUGAGGCGCGAAAGCUAGGGGAGCGAACGGG
rnacentral:rRNA from 1 species